CACGUAGUUAGCCGGGGCUUCUUACUCGGGUACCGUCAUUUUCUUCCCUGCUGAUAGAGCUUUACGUAACGAAUUACUUCUUCACUCACGCGGCGUCGCUGCAUCAGGGUUUCCCCCAUUGUGCAAUAUUCCCCACUGCUGCCUCCCGUAGGAGUCUGGGCCGUGUCUCAGUCCCAAUGUGGCCGUCCGCCCUCUCAGGCCGGCUACUGAUCGUCGCCUUGGUGGGCCGUUACCCCGCCAACAAGCUAAUCAGACGCGGGUCCAUCUUACACCACCGGAGUUUUUCACACCGCUUCAUGCGAAGCUGUGCGCUUAUGCGGUUUUAGCACCUAUUUCUAAGUGUUAUCCCCCUGUGUAAGGCAGGUUACCCACGCGUUACUCACCCGUCCGCCACUAACCCAUAUAUCACUAGGUUUCAAUAUGGGUCCGUUCGACUUGCAUGUGUUAAGCACGCCGCCAGCGUUCAUCCUGAGCCAGGAUCAAACUCU
rnacentral:rRNA from 1 species